rnacentral:tRNA from 2 species
GGAUGGGUGGCCGAGUGGCUGAAGGCGCUCCCCUGCUAAGGGAGUAUGGGUGGAAGCUCAUCGUGGGUUCGAAUCCCACCCCAUCCGCCA